GAUGAACGCUGGCGGCGUGCCUAAUACAUGCAAGUCGAGCGAAUGGAUUAAGAGCUUGCUCUUAUGAAGUUAGCGGCGGACGGGUGAAUAACACGUGGGUAACCUGCCCAUAAGACUGGGAUAACUCCGGGAAACCGGGGCUAAUACCGGAUAACAUUUUGAACCGCAUGGUUCGAAAUUGAAAGGCGGCUUCGGCUGUCACUUAUGGAUGGACCCGCGUCGCAUUAGCUAGUUGGUGAGGUAACGGCUCACCAAGGCAACGAUGCGUAGCCGACCUGGGAGGGUGAUCGGCCACACUGGGACUGAGACACGGCCCAGACUCCGACGGGGGGCAGCAGUAGGGAAUCUUCCGCAAUGGACGAAAGUCUGACGGAGCAACGCCGCGUGAGUGAUGAAGGCUUUCGGGUCGUAAAACUCUGUUGUUAGGGAAGAACAAGUGCUAGUUGAAUAAGCUGGCACCUUGACGGUACCUAACCAGAAAGCCACGGCUAACUACGUGCCAGCCGCCGCCGUAA
rnacentral:rRNA from 1 species